ensembl:snRNA U6 U6 spliceosomal RNA
GUGCUCGCUUCGGCAGCACAUAAACUAAAAUUGGAACGAUACAGAGAAUAUUAGCGUGGCCCCUGCACAUGACAUAGAAGUUCGUGAAGCAUCCCAUAUUUUU